rnacentral:rRNA from 1 species
GACGAACGCUGGCGGCGUGCUUAACACAUGCAAGUCGAACGGUGAAGCGCCUUCCUUUUUGGUGGGUGUGGAUGAGUGGCGAACGGGUGAGUAACACGUGAGUAACCUGCCCCCUUCUUCUGGAUAACCGCAUGAAAGUGUGGCUAAUACGGGAUAUUCUGGGUCUGUCGCAUGAUGGGUCUGGGAAAGAUAUUGUUUCGGUGGGGGAUGGGCUCGCGGCCUAUCAGCUUGUUGGUGGGGUGAUGGCCUACCAAGGCGGUGACGGGUAGCCGGCCUGAGAGGGUGGAGGGUCACACGGGGACUGGGACACGGCCCAGACUCGUACGGGAGGCAGCAGUGGGGAAUAGUGCACAAUGGGCGCAAGCCUGAUGCAGCGACGCCGCGUGAGGGAUGGAGGCCUUCGGGUUGUGAACCUCUUUCGCCAGUGAAGCAGGCCUGCCUCGUUUGUGGGUGGGUUGACGGUAGCUGGAUAAGAAGCGCCGGCUAACUACGUG